CAGUCGCCGCGGUAAUACGUAGGUCCCGAGCGUUGUCCGGAUUUAUUGGGCGUAAAGCGAGCGCAGGCGGUUUGAUAAGUCUGAAGUUAAAGGCUGUGGCUCAACCAUAGUUCGCUUUGGAAACUGUCAAACUUGAGUGCAGAAGGGGAGAGUGGAAUUCCAUGUGUAGCGGUGAAAUGCGUAGAUAUAUGGAGGAACACCGGUGGCGAAAGCGGCUCUCUGGUCUGUAACUGACGCUGAGGCUCGAAAGCGUGGGGAGCGAACAGGAUUAGAUACCCGUGUAGUCCCUGUCUCUUAUACA
rnacentral:rRNA from 1 species